GACGAACGCUGGCGGCGUGCUUAACACAUGCAAGUCGAACGAAGUGGCGAACGGGUGAGUAAUACGUGGGUAACCUGCCCUCCUUUUUGGGAUAAGACUUGGAAACGGGGUCUAAUACCGAAUAAAGGGGGAUGGGCUCGCGGCCUAUAAGCUUGUUGGUGGGGUGAUGGCCUACCAAGGCGGUGACGGUUAGCCGGCCUGAGAGGUUGACCGGGCACAUAGGGACUGAGAUACGGCCCAGACGACUACGUGGGGCGGCAGUUGGGGAUAUUGCACAAUGGGCGAUAUCCUGAUGCAGCGACUCCGCGUAGUGGAUGAAGGCUUUCGGGUUGUAAACCUGUUUCGCUAUCGAAAGGAUAGGUGGAGAAGAAGCGCCGGCUAACUACGUGCCAGCAGCCGCGGUAAUAC
rnacentral:rRNA from 1 species